ACGCAAUAGAUACCCGGUAGUCCUGGCAGUAAACGGUGCGCGUUUGGUGUGGGAGGAUUCGACCCCUUCUGUGCCGGAGCUAAACGCGUUAAACGCGCCGCCUGGGGAGUACGGUCGCAAGAUUAAAACUCAAAGAAAUUGACGGGGGCCCGCACAAGCGGUGGAGUAUGUGGCUUAAUUCGAUGCAACGCGAAGAACCUUACCUAGCCUUGACAUGCAUCUCUAAGUCGGUGAAAGCCGGCGAGUGUAGCAAUGCACAAUUUGCACAGGUGCUGCAUGGCUGUCGUCAGCUCGUGUCGUGAGAUGUUGAGUUAAGUCCCGCAACGAGCGCAACCCCUGUGAACUGUUGCCACCACACUUCGGUGUGAGCACUCUGUUCAGACUGCCCUGUGAAACGGGGAGGAAGGUGGGGAUGACGUCAAGUCAGCAUGGCCCUUACGGCUAGGGCUGCACACGUACUACAAUGCUCAGUACAGAACGAACCGAAACCGCGAGGUGGAGGAAAUCCCAAAAACUGAGCUCAA
rnacentral:rRNA from 1 species